AUGUGACACAUUUUCUUUAUCCAGUCUAUCAUUGCCGUUUGUUAAGCCCAUUGGAAAAGUGCAGUAUUAUGGUGGGAGUGACCCGAUUUUCCAGGUGCCAUCUGUCACCCUUUUCUUUGACUAGGAAAGGGAAUUCCCUGACCCCUUGCACUUCCCAGGUGAGGUGAUGCCUUGCCCUGCAUUGGCUCAUGCACAGUGUGCUGCACCCAGUGUCCUGCACCCACUGUCUGGCACUCCCCAGUGAGAUGAACUUGGUACCUCAGUUGGAAAUGCAGAAAUCACCCGUCUUCUGCGUCCCUCAUGCUGGAAGCUGUAGACUGGUGCUGUUCCUAUGUGGCCAUCUUGGCUCCACCCCCAACUAUUUAAUAUAGUUUAUAAAAUGCAAGACUAUAGAAAUAUGGAACAAAAAUAUUAAAAAUUAUGAAUAUACAUAAAACAAGGCUACAUAAAGAGAUUUUUAAAGUUUCUGAAUUUAAAGAAAUAAUAUUGUAGGCAUGUUCUCUCAAAAUUUAUCAUACACAUUAAAAUAUUAAUCACCAUGCCUGAAGGAUUUGUUUUGGAAUUUAACAAUGUGACCAUAAAUUUUACCUACAAAUAUUAGUGUGGUAAAAUAGUCAAGGAAAAACAAUUAUAACUAAUUUUAGGAGGCCGGGCAUGGUGUCUCACACCUGUAAUCUCAGCACUUUGUGAAGCUGAGGCAGGCAGAUCACUUGAAGACAGAAGUUCGAAGCCAGUCUGGCCAACAUGACAAAACCCUG
rnacentral:lncRNA from 1 species